rnacentral:ncRNA from 1 species
CUCGCGUAGCUUACUCAAAGCAUAACACUGAAGAUGUUAAGACGGACCCUGAAAAGUCCCGAGAGCACAAAAGCCUGGUCCUGACUUUAUCAUCGCACAAGUCCACAUAGUGCUAUAGACUAGGGCCCUUUCCCAAUUCCUUUUUUAACCCUUCCCCUCAGCCCUUGGCCCUACCCCUUGUCCCUACAUAAUGAGUGUCAAGGGGAAAGAUCCCCCUAGGAAUUGGAAUGUCCCUAAAUAUUGAACGUGGGCCUUGCUAAGCCACACCCCCAAGGGAACUCAGCAGUAAUAGACCUUAGGCAAUAAGUGUAAACUUGACCUAGCUACGGUUAAAAGGGCCGGUAAAACUCGUGCCAGCCACCGCGGUCAUACAAGUGUUAGCCCAAGUGGACAAUUACGGCGUAAAGCGUGGUUAGGGGCCCCCUUAAAACUAAAGAAGAACUUCCUCAAAGCCGUUAUACGCAUCCGACAGCAUGAAACCCCACCACGAAAGUGGCUUUAACCCAACCCGAACCCACGACAGCUAGGAAACAAACUGGGAUUAGAUACCCCACUAUGCCUAGCCGUAAACAUUAAUAGAUAUUCUACAACUUCUAUUCGCCCGGGAACUACAAGCGUCAGCUUAAAACCCAAAGGACUUGGCGGUGCUUUAGACCCACCUAGAGGAGCCUGUCCUAGAACCGAUAACCCCCGUUCAACCUCACCACUUCUUGCCCAACCCGCCUAUAUACCGCCGUCGUCAGCUUACCCCGUGAGGGAUUAGUAGUAAGCUAAACUGGCACAGCCCAAAACGUCAGGUCGAGGUGUAGCGCACGAAGUGUGGAAGAGAUGGGCUACAUUUUCUGAUCCAGAAAACUACGGAAGGAAAAAUGAAAAAAUUCCCGAAGGAGGAUUUAGCAGUAACUAGGGAAUAGAGCGCCCUACUGAAACUGGCCCUUAAGCGCGCACACACCGCCCGUCACUCUCCCCAAACCCGACCCGCACAUAACAUAUAACGUCAACUGGACAAAGGGGAGGCAAGUCGUAACAUGGUAAGUGUACCGGAAGGUGCACUUGGAUAACA